ACCGUGCAAAGGUAGCAUAAUCAUUUGUUCUCUAAAUAAGGACUUGUAUGAACGGCCACACGAGGGUUUAACUGUCUCUUACUUCCAAUCAGUGAAAUUGACCUCCCCGUGAAGAGGCGGGGGUAUACUAAUAAGACGAGAAGACCCUAUGGAGCUUCAAUUAACUAACCCAUAGUAAAUACACUUAACCACCAACCGGGUCUAACAGAACCUUACUAAUGAGUUAGCAAUUUAGGUUGGGGUGACCUCGGAGAAUAAAAUAACCUCCGAGUGAUACAAGCGCAGACAAACCAGUCAAAGCAUCCUAUCAUUCAUUGAUCCAAUAACUUGAUCAACGGAACAAGUUACCCUAGGGAUAACAGCGCAAUCCUAUUUGAGAGUCCAUAUCAACAAUAGGGUUUACGACCUCGAUGUUGGAUCAGGACAUCCUGAUGGUGCAGCAGCUAUCAGGGGUUCGUUUGUUCAACGAUUAAAGUCCUACGUGAUCUGAGUUCAGACCGG
rnacentral:rRNA from 1 species